UCGAGAAUUUUUCUCAAUGGGCGAAAGCCUGAAGGAGCGACGCCGCGUGGGGGAUGAAGGGCUUCGGCUCGUAAACCCCUGUCAUUUGCGAACAAACCUUUAUAUUUAACAGAUGUAAAGCUGAUAGUAGUGAAAGAGGAAGGGACGGCUAACUCUGUGCCAGCAGCCGCGGUAAUACAGAGGUCCCAAGCGUUGUUCGGAUUCACUGGGCGUAAAGGGUGCGUAGGUGGCGGAAUAAGUUUGAUGUGAAAUCUCCGGGCUUAACCUGGAAAUGGCAUUAAAUACUGUUUUGCUAGAGGGUUGGAGGGGGGACUGGAAUUCUCGGUGUAGCAGUGAAAUGCGUAGAUAUCGAGAGGAACACCAGUGGCGAAAGCGAGUCCCUGGACAGCUCCUGACACUGAGGCACGAAAGCUAGGGGAGCAAACAGG
rnacentral:rRNA from 1 species